AGUGAUCGCUGGCGGCGUGCUCAACACAUGCAAGUCGAGCGGGCAUUGGCAGAGUAUCGCCAGUGCUAGCGGCAGACGGGUGAGUAAUACUUGGGCAAUCUGCCCUUGAGUGGGAAACAACCUGCCGAAAGGUGGGCUAAUGUCCCAUAAGACCACAGGAGGGCAUCCUCCAGGGGUCAAAGCUCCGCAAGGGGCGCUUGAGGAGGAGCCNGAGGCCUAUCACGGUAGUUGGUGCGGUAACGGCGCACCAAGCCUAUGACGGGUAGCCGGCCUGAAAGGGUGACCGGCCACACUGGCACUGAGACACGGGCCAGACUCCUACGGGAGGCAGCAGUGGGGAAUUUUGGACAAUGGGGCAACCCUGAUCCAGCGACGCCGCGGUGGAGGACGAAGGUCUUCGGAUUGUAAACUCCUUUUGGAGGGGAUGAAUGCCUACGUGAAGAACGUAGGGUGAC
rnacentral:rRNA from 1 species